GACAGACGCGGACAGUCUCACAAGGCAGCGAGUGUGCGCACACACACACACACACACACACGCACACACACGAUCUCCUCAUUUCCGAGCGGUUUCAUCAGAAGCCGCAUCUCUCCAUCAUCUGCAGCUCUGCUGAGGGACGUCGUCUCUUCUGGGAUUAAGAUCCUGCAGGAUUAACGACAUCGCGACGAUAAACGGGGGACCGCGGCGACACGCACGCCGGGCUUCGCGGGGCUUUUACGGUCCGGCGUGGAAAUGCUGCGAGGUUUUCGCUGCGUUCGCGGUUUUCCCGUCGUGGCGUGAAUAUAAAAGCAACACACACACACACACACACACACACACACACACGCGUCGGCGAAGAGCCCGAAAGUUCCAGACGGCCGGCGCGCGUUGCGCAUGGCGUGUGCGGGGAUUACAGCGGGAAGGUCCGGCUGAAGCGAGUCCGCUCCAUGGCUCCGGCUCCACGCUGCAAGGAUGCGAGACCGUGGCCGAGGAUGAGUUCAACUUUCUGGGCGGCGGUGCUGCUGAGCAGCCUGCUGAUCAUCUACUGCGGUCAGCUGGCAGCGGGCACCUGUGAGAUCGUCACCCUGGACCGGGACAGCAGUCAGCCGCGGAGAACCAUCGCAAGGCAGACCGCCAGGUGCGCGUGCAAGAAAGGCCAGAUCGCCGGAACGACAAGAGCCCGGCCAGCGUGUGUGGACGCUCGGAUCGUCAGGACCAAGCAGUGGUGCGAGAUGCUUCCCUGUCUGGAGGACGAAGGCUGCGACCUGCUGGUGAACAGAUCGGGGUGGACCUGCACGCAGCCCGGCGGCAGGGUCAAAACCACGACGGCUCUAUGACGCGGCCGGAGUUCCCCCUCAAAACCCGUUCAUUGCUGAGCCGGACAGACAUCCAAAACUUCAAGAACAGACUCGAACACAAACGAUGCAGCACCAUCAGGUCUCCUAACAGCAGUGGUGACGGACCCCCCACCCCCCGCCGGGGCGCGGACUCUGCAGAAGCCACUUCCUGCCCUGGCCCCGCCCACUGCUGUAGAUAAACCUGCUGUCUGUCAUCGGCCCAACGCGCUUGUCUGUCUGCCUGUCUGUCCGCUUUGAACUGGGCGGCGCCCCCUAGUGCCGCGCAGGACCCCGCAUCGGACGCACUGGGAGGCGUGGCGACCGGCGAUGGACGUCCCCCCUUCCUCUCCGUAAACCCCGCCCCCUCUGGACUGGCCCGUGACCCCGGGGACCCCCCGGGGCGCCGAACUGACCUUCCGCCGGAGUCCUUUUUUUUUUUUUUUUUUUUUUACAGACCAAAGAGCAAAAAGUAAAAGCGCAGACGGGAGGAACCCGGCGGAAAAAGUGACAUUUCUGCUGACCUGUGCAACACGAGACUAACAGCCCCCCCCUCCCCCCCGGAAGAACCUUUAACACUUCGCUGGCAUUUCUCCUUCUUUCUUGUACCGGGACGCCGGAGUUAUAGGAACUGUAUACAUAGAUGUAUAAAAAAACCAGAAAAUCACACGUGCAUUUUUUUCCAGUAGCAGCAUUUGGGACGAUUUGCAAUAAGCAUGGUUGGUUUGAGGAAAAAAAAAAAAAAGUUAAAUCAUUUAUCGGACAUUAAGCGAGAGUAUUAAAAACUGUCCUUUCUGUUUGCCAGAAGAGAGAGAAGGAGGGAACGAGAAAAAAAAAAAAAGUGUCAUUAAAUGUAUUUUGAAAGGUCUAAAAAAAAAAAAAAAGUUAUAUAUUUCACAGUUUUAUAUGUUGUAUCUUUGUAGAGAACUUUACUUAACAUGAAUAAUGUGGUGAAAUGGCAGUUCUAGGACGUGGAUAGGCUCAGCUUGUUUUUCGGCCCAUCGCCGCUCGACCGGCCCUCCUCUCGCGCCCACGUCGGUCGCGUGGGGCCGCGCCAUCUGCUACUCGCUGUUGUAGUUGUACAAACCGGUGUGGAAAUCUCACCGCUCAUUUUACUCUUUGAUCGAAUUUAUUUAUUUUCAUUAUUUUUAACAUUUUUAUUUUUUUGUGCUUGUGUUUGUUGCACAGUGUCGACCUCGGAGCGACGGCGUCGGGACGGGGACGGGGGGUUAGAUGAAAGACCUCGAGAAAAAAAAAAACAAAUCAUUUACAUGAAAUACUUUUUUAUUCUGAAAUAUUUUAAGAAUAAAUCGAUUAUGUGAAAAAAGCA
ensembl:lncRNA